rnacentral:rRNA from 1 species
AGAACGAACGCUGGCGGCAGGCCUAACACAUGCAAGUCGAACGCCGUAGCAAUACGGAGUGGCAGACGGGUGAGUAACGCGUGGGAACCUUCCCAAUGGUACGGAAUAGCUCAGGGAAACUCGAGGUAAUACCGUAUACGCCCGCAAGGGGAAAGAUUCAUCGCCAUUGGAUGGGCCCGCGUAGGAUUAGCUAGUUGGUGGGGUAAAGCCUACCAAGGCGACGAUCUGUAGCUGGUCUGAGAGGACGACCAGCCACACUGGAACUGAGACACGGUCCAGACUCCUACGGGAGGCAGCAGUGGGAAUUUGGACAAUGGGCGCAAGCCUGAUCCAGCAAUGCCGCGUGCAGGAUGAAGGCCUUCGGUUGUAAACU